GAUCAUUUGUAGUCAAUGUGACACAGACCUCCUAUCAGGCAGAGGAGAACCACAACAUCACACUGGAGUGGACGUUCACCACCAAACCUGACAGAUCCUCCAAAACUCUCAACAUCCUCUGUGAACGCUUCAUCAAUGAUACACUCUCAGUCCUGUUUCAUGUUCAUGAAGGUGUUGAGGUGUCAGAGUCUCAGGAUGAAAAGUUUUCAGGACGAGUCCAGAGUGACAAAGACGCCCUCAGAGAAGGACGAAUCAGACUUCAACUGUCCAGACUCAGGACUGAUGACUCGGGUCUGUACCUGUGUGAGGUCAACACUGAUUAUGGCUUCGGUGUUGGAAGAUGUCGACUCAACGUGACUGGAGGCCAGCAGAAUAAACUAUCCACGCUGAACGCUUCCUGACUACGCCUGCAUUUGUUCGAGAGAAGUUUAGGAGAGGACCCCGUGACACCAAUCAAGAUGGUUUGGGAUGAGAUGGAUGGCAGAGUGAAGGCAAACGGACCAAUGAGUGAUCAGCAUCUCUGGGAAGUCCUUCAAGACUGUUGGAAAACCGAUUCAGGUGACGACCUCAUGAAGCUCACUGAGAGAAUGCCAAGAGUGUGCCAAGUAGUAAUCAAAGCAAAGGGAGGCUAUUUUAAAGAAUCUGAAAUAUAAAACAUGUUUUGAGUUAUUUCACAGUUUUUUGUUUACUACAUAAUUCCAUAUGUGUUCAUUCAUACUUUUGAUGUGUCAGUG
ensembl:lncRNA